AGUGAACGCUGGCGGCGUGCCUAAUACAUGCAAGUCGAACGGAGUGGCGCACGGGGGAGUGAUGUAUAGCUAAUCUGCCCUACACUAGAGGACAACAGUUGGAAACGACUGCUAAUACUCUAUAGUGUAGGAUGAGGCUCUAUUGUGUCAGCUAGUUGGUGAGGUAAUGGCGCACCAAGGCUAUGACGCAAAACUGGUCUGAGAGGAUGAUCAGUCAAACUGUAAAGGAGACACGGUCCAGACUCCUACGGGAGGCAGCAGUAGGGAAGAGUGCUCAAGGGGGGAAACCCUGAAGCAGCAUCGGCGCGUGGAGGACGACACUUUUCGGAGCGUAAACUCCUUUUGUUAGGGAAGCGGUACCUAACGAAUAAGCACCGGCUAACUCCGUGCCAGCCGCCGCGGUAAUUC
rnacentral:rRNA from 1 species